rnacentral:rRNA from 1 species
GACGAACGCUGGCGGCGUGCUUAACACAUGCAAGUCGAACGGAAAGGCCCUGCUUUUGUGGGGUGCUCGAGUGGCGAACGGGUGAGUAACACGUGAGUAACCUGCCCUUGACUUUGGGAUAACUUCAGGAAACUGGGGCUAAUACCGGAUAGGAGCUCCUGCUGCAUGGUGGGGGUUGGAAAGUUUCGGCAGUUGGGGAUGGACUCGCGGCUUAUCAGCUUGUUGGUGGGGUAGUGGCUUACCAAGGCUUUGACGGGUAGCCGGCCUGAGAGGGUGACCGGCCACAUUGGGACUGAGAUACGGCCCAGACUCCUACGGGAGACAGCAGUGGGGAAUAUUGCACAAUGGGCGGAAGCCUGAUGCAGCAACGCCGCGUGCGGGAUGACGGCCUUCGGGUUGUAAACCGCUUUCGCCUGUGACGAAGCGUGAGUGACGGUAAUGGGUAAAGAAGCACCGGCUAACUACGUG